rnacentral:rRNA from 1 species
UACAGAGGUCUCAAGCGUUGUUCGGAUUCAUUGGGCGUAAAGGGUGCGUAGGUGGCGCCGUAAGUCGGGUGUGAAAUUUCGGAGCUUAACUCCGAAACUGCAUUCGAUACUGCGGUGCUUGAGGACUGGAGAGGAGACUGGAAUUCAUGGUGUAGCAGUGAAAUGCGUAGAGAUCAUGAGGAAGACCAGUGGCGAAGGCGGGUCUCUGGACAGUUCCUGACGCUGAGGCGCGAAAGCGUGGGUAGCAAACAGG